GUCAACAAAAUAUUUUCGAAAUGGAACCAACUCGUUUGAAAUCAAAACGAUACGCUAAGAAAGAACUAGGUGUCUGCUUUUCGUUAGUUGUCUACCUACUUUCGUCCUUGUCUCGAAGACUAACAAUGUUGUUUGGUAGUAGUUCGCUGCGGUUUUCUCCCCUCCAGCCUCUAUCAGCUGAUGCCAAUGAUGUGUACAGUAUGAAGCGUUACAUAUGAGACGUUGGUAUAUGAGGCGUUAUACGUGUCUAUACCUCGAUUGUAAAAUGUAAUAUUCAACUAAUAACUGGUAUUUUUUUGUAUUUUAUUAGGAUCCCCAUUAGCUGUAGCAAAAGCAUCAGCUACUCUUCCUGUGGUCCACACAAAACAUGAAACAUUACAUAAUACAGAACAUUAAUAGACAAGGACAGAACUGCAUACAUAUUUUAUAAAGGCACACGUAGCCUACAUAUCAAUACAUACAGAAACUAUCUAGGUCAAAUAGGAGAGAGGCGUUGUGCCGAGAGGUGUUGCUUUAUCUGUUGUUUAAACCAGGUUUGCUGUUUAUUUGAGCAAUAUGAGAUGGAAUGGAGUUCCAUGCAAUAAUGGCUCUAUAUAAUACUGUACGCUUUCUUGCAAUUAUUCUGGAUUUGGGGACUGUGAAAAGACCCCUGGUAGCAUGACUGGUGGGGUAAGUGUGUGUGUCAGACCUGUGUGUAAGUUGACUAUGCAAACAAUUUGAGAUUUUCAACACAUUGUUUCUUAUAAAAAAUAAGAAGUGAUGCAGUCAGUCUCUCCUCAACUCUUAGCCAAGAGAGACUGGCAUGCAUAGUAUUUACAGUUGAAGUCGGAAGUUUACAUACACUUAGGUUGGAGUCAUUAAAACUCAUUUUUCAACCACUCCACAAUUUCUUGUUAACAAACCAUAGUUUUGGCGGUUAGGACGUCUAACUUUGUGCAUGACACAAGUCAUUUUUCCAACAAUUGUUUACAGACAGAUUAUUUCACUUAUAAUUCACUGUAUCACAAUUCCAGUGGGUCAGAAGUUGACUGUGCCUUUAAACAGCUCGGAAAAUUCCAGAAAAUGAUGUCAUGGCUUUAGAAGCUUCUGAUAGGCUAUUUGACAUCAUUUGAGUCAAUUGGAGGUGUCCUUGUGGAUGUAUUUCAAGGCCUACCUUCAAUCUCAGUGCCUCUUUGCUUGACAUCAUGGGAAAAUCAAAAGAAAUCAGCCAAGACGUCAUACAAAAAUUGUAGACAUCCACAAGUCUGGUUCAUCCUUGGGAGCAAUUUCCAAACGCCUGAUGGUACCACGUUCAUCUGUACAAACAAUAGUAAGUAUAAACACCAUGGGACCACGCAGCCGUCAUACCGCUCAGGAAGGAGACGCGCUUAGUCUCCUAGAGAUGAACGUACUUUGGUGUGAAAAGUGCAAAUCAAUCCCAGAACAAGAGCAAAGGACCGUGUGAAUAUGCUGGAGAAAACUGGUACAAAAAUAUCUAUAUCCACAGUAAAAUGAGUCAUAUAUCGACAUAACCUGAAAGGCCGCUCAGCAAGGAAGAAGCCGCUGCUCCAAAACCGCCAUAAAAAAGCCAGACUACGGUUUUCAACUCCACAUGCGGACAAAGUUUGUACUUUUUGGAGAAGUGUCCUCUGGUCUGAUGAAACAAAAAUAGAACUGUUUGGCCAUAAUGACCAACGUUAUGUUUGGAGGAAAAAGAGAGUCGCUUGCAAGCCGAAUAACACCAUCCCAACCGUGAAGCACGGGGGUGGCAGCAUCAUGUUGUGGGGGUGCUUUGCUGCAGGAGGGACUGGUGUACAUCACAAAAUAGAUGGCAUCAUGAGGGAGGAAAAUUAUGUGGAUGUAUUGAAGCAAAAUCUCAAGACAUCAGUCAGGAAGUUAAAGCUUGGUCGCAAAUGGGUCUUCCAAAUGGACAAUGACACCAAGCAUAGCAAAGUUGUUGCAAAGUUGUAGCAAAAUGGCUUAAUAAGGACAACACAGUCAAGGUAUUGGAGUGGCCAUCACAAAGCCCUGACCUCAAACCUAUAGAAAUUUGUGGGCAGAACUGAAAAAGCGUGUGUGUGAGCAAAGAGGCCUACAAACCUGACUUAGUUACACCAGCUCUGUCAGGAGGAAUGGGCCAAAAUUCACCCAACUUAUUGUGGGAAGCUUGUGGAAGGCUACCCAAAACGUUUGACCCAAGUUAAACAACUUAAAGGCAAUGCUACCAAAUAAUAAUUGAGUGUAUGUAAACUUCGGACCCACUGGGAACGUGAUGAAAGAAAUAAAAGCUGAAAUAAAUCGUUCUCUCUACUAUUAUUCUGACAUUUCACAUUCUUAAAAUAAAGUGGUGAUCCUAACUGACCUAAGACAGGGACUUUUUACUCAGAAUAAAUGUCAGGAAUUGUGAAAAACUGAGUUUAAAUGUAUUUGGCUAAGGUGUAUGUAAACUUCCGCCCUCUGACUACAAUGAAGAGCAAGACGUGUCGCUCUGUUCUGUGCCAGCUGCAGCUUAACUAGGUCUUUCCUUGCAGCUCUCAACCACACGGCUGGACAAUAAUCAAGAUAAGACAAGAAUAGUGUGGUGUCAAAAAAGCAGACCUCUCCCAAAUCUUUACAACCAUUGAACCUAUAUGUUUUGACCAUGACAGUUUACAAUCUAAGGUAACACCAAGUAAUUUAGUUGCCUCAACUUGUUCAACAGCCACCCCAGUCAUUACCAGAUUCAGCAGAGGUCUAGAAUGUCGUAAUAGAGUAAUUAUUGGAAGACACUACAACUCCUCAUAACAGACAUGUGUAACACCUCAAAUAUAACGCCUCAUACUACAUUCGGUUACAUUCUACUAUUGUUUACAUAUUGUGUUCAAUGGGCCAAGAGAAUGAAAAUCCAAGCGACAGAACCUAGCAACACUUUCCUGUGGAUAUCUCCAACUCUUACCGCCAAAAAGGACCAGCAGCAUGUAGAACUGGUAAAAUGGUUUCACUACAACAGGUGAUGAUACCAGGCAAGUAAUACGCCAGUCAUCUGACGAUUUCACUGUCAAUAGUUUCACUUUUCUUCUGACCAACACAUUCCUUGCCUUUCCCACCUUCCCCGUUCUCCCCCAGUGGACAGUGUGUGACUUGAGUUUAUUCAGUCGUCUGUAGUGGAUCGUGGACUUGUGCAACCUGUGGUUAUACUGGACCUCGCUCAGGUAUGCUAACACCCUCCCCAUUCUCUGGUGAUUCACCUGGUAUUGUCACAAUUGUAUUCAGUUCUAGUCAAGUUUAUUCCAUUUUAACCUAUUACCCAGGUUGUUUGUUCUUGGGAAAAACCUACUUGAAUGACUAAACUGGGCAGAAAUGACAAAAGGUGUCAACAUUAGCCUGCUAAUAAUCACUGAAACAAAAAGUAGACAGUCAGGGACCAUCAGCAUUUCCAAACAUGAUGGAAAGAGGAGUAUUUGUGGGGCUAUUUGACAGCAGAAUGAAUGCCAAUCUUAGACUUGGAGAGCAUCAGAAGUUCCAAAAAUGAUGGAUAAUGGAAUUUCCCCCUUCAAAUUGUCCUUGCACAAUGUGGCAGUGUUGUUCUCCGGACCACAGCGAAGACUAGUUAUUUUCAACAUGUAUUUAAUUGGCACAGUUUACACAAUACAAAUAAUUCAGUGCUCCGAAACGCAAGCAUAUACCAAAUGGAACACAAACAGAAAAAAAGUGCGAAACACACCAUUUGGCAGACUUUACAAAACAAAAACAAUAAAACAAAGUCUUAGCAAAGCGAGAGAGAAGAAGUAACGGUAGGUCCUUUUAAUCGUUAAAACCUUAAAAAUAGACUGUUUAUUUCCUUUUUUUGUCUUAGUUGAAUCAAUAUUUAUUUAUAUAUUUAUAUAUAUAUUCUCUCUAAAUUCCAACAAGCCAUUUCUUCUGUACAGGUGCGCUGGGGCCAGGCUGAAGGACUAGGAUGAUCUGAAUCCAGCAUUAGCAGGAGAGGAGAUAAGCAGAUUCCCCUCUAUACUGGCUCGCUUCUGAGUGGGUCAGCGCACUACAGAUAUGCACCUUCUGAUGGUCUGCAUGGGAAACCAGUUUUGUCUUUUCACUUCUCACAAACAAAACAACUGCCAAAUCAAUAUCUACAAUAAUCAAAAUAAGAGAUGGACGGAUGGGAAUAGCAAAAGGAGACUUUGACCUGACCUGAGUCUCGGGCCAAAGAACUUCUAGAUUUGCGCCGCUUUUAUAUUAUGACAAGUAACUGGGACUCCAAAUGAUGAUUGGAUCACUGUUCGUGUGUUGUUCUACUGAUAAUAUACAUGGUUUGCAUUGAUACAAUUUCAGUUGCUGCUCUUUGAAAUGUUGCUUGAGUAGUAAUAUUGUAAUAAAAAAAAAGUUUCAAGACA